rnacentral:rRNA from 1 species
UACGUAGGGGGCUAGCGUUGUCCGGAAUCAUUGGGCGUAAAGAGCGCGUAGGCGGCCAGAUAAGUCCGGUGUGAAAGUCACAGGCUCAACCUGUGAAUGCCGCUGGAAACUGUCUGGCUAGAGUCCGGGAGGGGCGAGUGGAAUUCCUGGUGUAGCGGUGAAAUGCGCAGAUAUCAGGAGGAACACCAAUGGCGAAGGCAGCUCGCUGGAACGGUACUGACGCUGAGGCGCGAAAACGUGGGGAGCAAACAGG